CACAGCUACUGAAUGGAUUGCCAAACAUUUUGGAACAGAAAAGUACCAAGAAAAUGUUAUUCCCCCCUCAGGAAUAAUUGUGAUGACUUUGGGUUAGGGGUUUGCAACCUGGCAGUUUUUGUUCAAGCUCAUGAUCUAAAGGUGGCAACAAUUUACUUUUCAGGCGAACAGUAACUUCACAUAACGUCACUGACUAGCAGAUCCGCUUGACGUUAACAUACCAAUAGAGUGAUGUAGCCAGCUAGAAGGCUAUGUGGAUUGGACAAAGUGCUUCACGUGGCUCUUCCAUGGGUGAUGUAUUGUAAACAAACGCAAUUGAGUAGGAUAGUUAGACGUCAUGAGAAGAUGCUGCAGCUUGACUCACAUUGUAAGCAUCAAUAAUGAGUUUGAUCACAUUGCUGGAGUUUGAGGACAGCGUGCCAACAGCUGAUUUAGGAAUCAGGUUUUUCAACUCCUGAAAGAGACACAAUGGCGGAUGGCUGGAAUUCCUCAGUGACGGCAAAGAUGGUCUGGAUGUUGUGGUCACUCAGUUUCUGAACCAAAUGGGCGAUGGAGGGGUAGUCCUAUCAAAUGGAUUCAUCAACACAGGUGACACUUCCCAUCGUUGGGCAGGACAAUGCCGCCCAGUUUGCCAUCUCCAGCAAAGUGGAAACCAGCGUCGGUGGAAAACACCAGCAGACGAGUCACGUUCCUCCAGCCGAUUUGGUCCUGGGAAGACAAAGAGAGCAUUAAUAUUCUCAUUAAUAUUUUACAAAUUUGCAAGACACCCUUGCCUACAUAAAGUGCAGUGGCAGAAGUCUAAAUUUCCUGAUUGUUGACACUACAAAACAGCCACUACAAAGCACACGGGAAAAACUCUUAAGCAACGUCCUACCUCACAGACCGCCACCUGCAUGAUGGCAUCGAAGCCCCCCUCUGGAGAGUCCAGGUUUCCUGAGAUCUGCUGCUGACUGACCAACCGAUUGAACUCGUCUCCCUUGUCUGUCAGCUUGAGGACAUUCUUAUAGCUGAAGGGGCUGGUACAGUUUUGGUUUCCUGUGCAGGGGUUGAUGAGCCUGGCUGGCGUGGUGCUGAUGUAAGGCAUGACCGUCUUCUCCACAAAUGAGCCAAAACCUAAAGAAGAAUUUUAUUUAUUUUAUUUUAUAAAAAUAUUUCUAACACUA